UCUGGGUUUAUCAAGUGAUGCCUAAGAUCGGUCCUGCUUCAUACAAUUACCCGGCUCAAAAUGCCUGAAUGUGGCCCGGGUCUGGACCGAACGAGUAUUUUUACCACCCCUAAUGCCAAGGCAGAAAAGUCGUGUGACAGUAGCAAUUAACGAAAUUAAUUAAUUAUAUACAUUACACAGGGAGCAAGAGAGAUAUUAUUACAUAAGGAUGUACGGUGAAUUUAUUAGUUUUUUAACGCUGUAUUUUAAUUUAAUUAAUUAAAGGUUUCCUUCGUCAUUGAGUUCUGUGACGAUAUAUGUAGUUUUUCAUUUUUUGCAAGUUAAUUUAAUAUCUUCUGUUGGAUUCAAUCAUUCAAUGGAGCUCAAGACAACAACGACAACAACCACAACCAAAUUGAUUACUGCGAGCUAAUAAAUAUUUUUAAAGAGCAAGUAAAUGGCGAAACGUCAAACUUUCGGAAGACGUGCAUGGGAGAGCGACUUCACAGUGUACUAAUGACCAAAACUACAAGAAAUAAGAAAGAACCCCCAGGCAAAGAGCAUGCUCAACCCGUACACUUACGGGUGGUUUAAUCGAGACUCCUCUGGUAGAGUUUUACGAUGCAGACGAUGACCAUAAAACCAUGCACAACUACAUCACAAGGGCCCCCAAAAGUUCAAACAAAAAAAAAAAAAACAAAAAUUUAGAGUACGAUAAAAUUCAUUAUGAUUCGUUCUAAUAAUUAAAUUACUAAUUUAUUUAACUGAUUUUGCAAUCAAUCUGCUGUCUGAUGUCGAAAUCAGACGUGAUAGUGAUAGUACAUUAACUAACGAACCUUGAUUGUUGGUCUACGCACGCCAUUUCUGGCUACAGGGUAUAGCUCUGUCCAGCUUUUUGUAUUUUUAAAUUCCCAGAGGAAUCACCCUGUUCAAAUAAUUAAGGAAACAAUAAUCAAUUGCCAUGCACAAAGUCAUAAUAUUGUAAUGAUAAUUGAUAAUUGAUAUGAAUGCUAUGGCUGUUCUGACUUUCUAACCUUUUUUUCUUUUCUUUGUAGUAUUAGAAAUAGGGUAUUAUUUUAGAACUAUGCUAUUUAUCUUGAGUAUCAAGCUGCCAUGCAUUUAAAACUACUAAUUAACAAGGCAUACGUAAUGCAUUUAAAAUUAGGUCUGCGAUUAAAAUUUCAAAAUUAGGCUCUGGUAUUCGGUGGAUGAGGAUUCUCAUCACCAUAAUAGCGUUUCGUAUUUGCCUUUCAAAUUAAGCAAAUAUAUUUGAUUGGAAUGUGACUCUCAUCUGCUGUUGUUGUUUGUGCUCACAGUGCUUCUUUUAGUCUUCCUUGUUCCCAAUAUUAAUUCUACUGCAUUCCGAUGUGCUCACAUUCAUUUUUAAAAACUCGAUUGCAGAUGGUUUGGCAAACUGUGGAUUAUUUUGUGAUUCUUACGCGUGGUAAGAUAAUACUCCGCAGUUUAUUCUUAAAGGUAUUUUUGGAGGAAUCUUGGGCCUUACUUAACCGCUUCACCUAAAUCUUUUCUGCCUCUAUCCUACGUAAUUUUCUUUUUCUUUCCCACUAAUAAAGUUUCUGCUCUAACAAACCCAAAAAAAAAAAAAAAAAUGUGUACAAAAGCAUUACUCCUUGUCUUGAAAAUAAUAAUAAAUUUAUUAUUCUUUCGGGGGAAGAAAAAAAAGAAUCUAGGAAUAUUACGUGAAAGUUUGCAUGAAUCUGUAAGGUUGGCAUAGGGUCAGGAUAGGCAUUGGAAAUGGAAGAUGAAAGAAGGUAGUGGCUAGAAUAGAACUUAGAAGAAGAUGGGGGAUGAGGCCCGUGAGAUAUUUGUAACGUUUAUUGAGAGAGACCAAAAAAAAAACAAAACAAAAAGAAAAAACCAUUAGCUAGCGUUUAGUUUAUUUGUGAGUAUCAUCACUAUGUACGCUUCGUUUCCGGUUUCCUCUCACGGGAAUCCACUCACCCCUCUCACGUGUUCCUCUCUCUCUCUGUCUCUCUCUGUUCAUAUUCAUUGACGUAUAUAUAUACACACACACACACAUGCAUCCAUCUGGAUCAAGCUGUUUUUCUUCAGCUUGUUAUUUUACGGCUCCUCUACGUUUCCUCUCUAGCUAGUUUACAUUUUCAUCCCUUAACAACUUAAUUUGGGCGGUAGGAAAUUUGCCACAUUUCUUUCGCAAUUUAAUGAACUAACUAGUACUUACCACUAGCUAAUUAGUUAUAUGCUCAAUUUGGUAAUUAUACAUAAAUUAAUUUGGAACGUUUCUCAAUAUUGAUUGAUUGGAACCUUUCUCAAUAUUGAUUGAUUGAUAGUCACAUAUAUACAAGUAUACUGAGACCAUGCUUCAGUUUUUCAUUGCAAUACAACAGUGACUGAUGGGCAAAUUUAUAGGGAAUCAAAAGUGCCCCAUACUUUGUAAGCUCAUUUAGAGAGAAAUGGAAAAAUCUCUGCUCAUAGGUGUCUCUUUCUUUCCCAUGCAUGCCAGAGUAAACAAGAUCUCCUGGUUCCUAGAAAACAAAUUUUCAUGAUCCAAGUCACAAUAAGACAACGAGCUAAAGAUCAAUGAUCCCGGCCCAGCUAUUGAAUUGAGUAAUGUUGGAGGGAAAUUAAAAAGAUAUCUUUGCAGUUUCAGAGUUGUACUUGCAUCUGCUUCCCUGACUGAAUAAAAACCACAUAAGGCCAAGCAAUAGCUAUUUUUAUAUGACAUUUAUGGGCCUCUCCUCUGGCUAACUAGCUGCCUGCCUUUACUGAUCAGUUCAAUAAAGCACACCAAUACACAAAUAAAUAAUAUUUAUGACCUAAAGUUCCAUUUAAUUUGUUAUCGCAUUCUUUUUAGUUGCCGGUCUCCUUUGAAAGGGAAUUCUAUAGCCAAAGUUGUUUUAUUAAUUAGUCUGUUAUUUUACCAUAUGGGCAAAUGAGCAGAUACAAUUAAUAUAUAAUAUUUCGGAGGGGGUGUCCCAUUCGGUAAUAAAGCUUUUGUCCUAAAAGCCAGAUGAUGGUGAGUGAUUAAAGAGAUAAGGAAUUUUACACGUGUAAGUUACCAUAUAGGAGAGACUUGUUAAAGUUGAAUUGGGUAAAAAGGGGCAUUACGUUGAAAGGAAUAGACAAGGGCUGAUGUGUCUAGCGGAGCCCCACUGCUUGCUGCUGUGUCGGCCAGAGGCCAGAGCUAGCUUGAUCCACUGACUCAAGUACACUCUCCUUGAUCAGCCCCUACUACUGUCAUCACUGCCCUCUCACUCAUCUUUUUACCUAAAUGGUAUCUGAUCAAUAUCUCAAUCUAUCUUUCUUUGUCAUUUUGAUUAUUAUUUUUUAAGUAAACGCUUAUCCAUUUCACCUCCCAUGCAUCAAAUCAUGAAUGAUUUUUAAGGCUUCCUUAUCAAGUCUUUUUUGUACAAUUUAAGUUAACCAUGUUGUUGCGUGAUGUUAAUAAUUUAAUAAUCCGUGUUAUUUAAAAUUACAAUGAAUUAAUGAUAAUCCAAUCUUACACUUAGUUCUUUUUAUAGUUAUUGGAUGACUAAGUUGUUUAAUUUUUUAUUUUUAAAUAAUCUUCCAAAGGAGUCCUCUCAACGUAAAUUGUAGAAAAAAAAUUAUGA
rnacentral:lncRNA from 1 species